rnacentral:ribozyme from 1 species
GAGCGAAGUUAAGUCAGCAUGGCAUUCAACUACUAAGUCAUUAUGCUCAGAUCUUAGGAGUACUCAAAGUAGGAAACUUCAUCAAGGGAUAGAUAGACAAAAGAAAAAACAAG